AUGGGGCCCAGCCAGAAUGGCAUGAUCCUGAUGCCCCACUUCCACAAGGAUUGGCAGCAGAAAGUGGACACAUGGUUCAACCAGGCGGCUCACAAGAUCCACAGACACGGGGCCUGGCAGGGGAAAGCGUGCCACAUUGCCCCUCGUCCCAUAUCCUGUCCCAUCAAGCCCAUCGUAAGGUGCCCUACAGUUAGAUACCACACCAAGGUCCGGGCUGGAGGGAGCUUCUGCCUGAAGGAACUCAGGGUGGCUGGUAUCCACAAAAAAAUGGCUCGUACCAUCGGCAUCUCUGCGGACCCAAGAAGGGGAAACAAAUCCAGAGUCACUGCAGGCCAAUGUGCAGCGCCUGAAGGAGUACGGCUCCAAGCUCAUACUUUUCCCCAGGAAGCCUUCUGCUCCAAAGAAGGGAGACAGUUCUGCUGAAGAACUUAAACUGGCUACCCAGAUGACAGGACCUGUUAUGCCCAUCCAGAAUGCGUACAAAAAGGAAAAGGCCAGAGUCAUCAUGGAAGAAGAGAAGAACUUUAAGGCUUUCGCCAGUCUCUGAAUGGCCCAUGCCAAUGGCUGGCUCUUUGGCAUCCGAGCAAAAAGAGCGAAGGAAGCUGCAGAGCAGGAUGCUGAGAAGAAAAAGUAA